AUACGUCGGGGGCGAGCGUUGUCCGGAAUGAUUGGGCGUAAAGGGCGCGUAGGCGGCCCGGUAAGUCUGGAGUGAAAGUCCUGUUUUUAAGAUGGGACUGCAUUGGAUACUGUCGGGCUUGAGUGCCGGGGAGGUAAGUGGAAUUCCCAGUGUUGCGGUGAAAGGGGUAGAGAUUGGGAGGAACACCAGUGGCGAAGGCGACUUACUGGACUGUAACUGACGCUGAGGCGCGAAAGUGUGGGGAGCAAACAGGAUUAGAUACCCUGGUAGUCCACACUGUAAACGAUGAAUGCUAGGUGUAGGGGGUAUCGACCCCUUCUGUGCCGCAGUCAACACAAUAAGCAUUCCGCCUGGGGAGUACGGCCGCAAGGUUGAAACUUAAAUGAAUUGACGGGG
rnacentral:rRNA from 1 species